ensembl:misc_RNA
UAGAAUCCUGUCAAAGUCUUCUCUUGAGCCACAGAACAGGCACAGCAUGGGCAGAGGCAAUGCAAGUUUCUGCAGAGUGCCCCACCAAUAUACCUCAACCCUGUUCAGUGGCAAUCAAGGCCCCCAGGGCCUUUUGUGUGGGUUUUGUUUUUUUAAGUGUAU